rnacentral:rRNA from 1 species
AUUGAACGCUGGCGGCAUGCUUUACACAUGCAAGUCGGACGAGUGGCGAACGGGUGAGUAACAUAUCGGAACGUACCGAGUAAUGGGGGAUAACUAAUCGAAAGAUUAGCUAAUACCGCAUAUUAUUCGAGCGGCCGAUAUCUGAUUAGCUGGUUGGUGGGGUAAAGGCCUACCAAGGCGACGAUCAGUAGCGGGGCUGAGAGGAUGAUCCGCCACACUGGGACUGAGACACGGCCCAGACUCCUACGGGAGGCAGCAGUGGGGAAUCUUCCGCAAUGGACGAAAGUCUGACGGAGCAACGCCGCGUGAGUGAUGACGGCCCUAGGGUUGUAAAGUACUUUCAGUCGGGAGGCGUUACCGACAGAAGAAGCACCGGCUAACUCCGUGCCAGCAGCCGCGGUAAUAC